rnacentral:rRNA from 1 species
GAUGAACGCUGGCGGCGUGCCUAAUACAUGCAAGUCGAGCGAACGGACGAGAAGCUUGCUUCUCUGAUGUUAGCGGCGGACGGGUGAGUAACACGUGGAUAACCUACCUAUAAGACUGGGAUAACUUCGGGAAACCGGAGCUAAUACCGGAUAAUAUUUUGAACCGCAUGGUUCAAAAGUGAAAGACGGUCUUGCUGUCACUUAUAGAUGGAUCCGCGCUGCAUUAGCUAGUUGGUAAGGUAACGGCUUACCAAGGCAACGAUGCAUAGCCGACCGGAGAAGGUGAUCGGCCACACUGGAACUGAGACGCGGUCCAGACUCCUACGGGAGGCAGCAGUAGGGAAUCUUCCGCAGAGGGCGAAAGCCUGACGGAGCAACGCCGCGUGAGUGAUGAAGGUCUUCGGAUCGUAAAACUCUGUUAUUAGGGAAGAACAUAUGUGUAAGUAACUGUGCACAGCUUGACGGUACCUAAUCAGAAAGCCACGGCUAACUACGUG